UAAUCUUUGUAAAAUAUCAGACUAUUGAAGAUAUUAAUAAGGUGGAGAAAUCAAAGUCUCAUAUUGGUGGUUUGAUUGACUUAGACCCAUCUUCUACAACUCAUAUGCCUAAUGCAGUUGAAGUUCAGAAUCAUGAUGUACAAAAUAACAAUCAUAAUACAGAUGAGAUUGGUGCUCCUGAAUAUGAAGCAGUUGAUGUUCAACAAGAAACACAUGUUGAGGAACUUGAAGUUCCACUUAGAAAGUCUACUAGAGAUCAAACACAUUCUACUAGUAUUCACCUAAUGAGUACAUACUUUUGAUAGAUGAAGAAGAACAUGAAUGUUAU
rnacentral:lncRNA from 1 species